CCACCACCAAAGCAUUCUCUGGUGUUGAAGGCCCUGCAAAGCAGCAUCGCGGUGGCGGAGCGUCGUUUGCGACGCCCAACACACAAAACAAGCGGUGAAUGCUUUGGGGUGGGGUGACUGCGUACCUUUUGUAUAAUGGGUCAGCGACUUAUAUUCUGUAGCAAGGUUAACCGAAUAGGGGAGCCGGAGGGAAACCGAGUCUUAAUUGGGCGUUAAGUUGCAGGGUAUAGACCCGAAACCCGGUGAUCUAGCCAUGGGCAGGUUGAAGGUUGGGUAACACUAACUGGAGGACCGAACCGACUAAUGUUGAAAAAUUAGCGGAUGACCUGUGGCUGGGGGUGAAAGGCCAAUCAAACCGGGAGAUAGCUGGUUCUCCCCGAAAGCUAUUUAGGUAGCGCCUCGUGAAUUCAUCUCCGGGGGUAGAGCACUGUUUCGGCUAGGGGGCCAUCCCGGCUUACCAACCCGAUGCAAACUGCGAAUACCGGAGAAUGUUAUCACGGGAGACACACGGCGGGUGCUAACGUCCGUCGUGAAGAGGGAAACAACCCAGACCGCCAGCUAAGGUCCCAAAGUCAUGGUUAAGUGGGAAACGAUGUGGGAAGGCCCAGACAGCCAGGAUGUUGGCUUAGAAGCAGCCAUCAUUUAAAGAAAGCGUAAUAGCUCACUGGUCGAGUCGGCCUGCGCGGAAGAUGUAACGGGGCUAAACCAUGCACCGAAGCUGCGGCAGCGAACGUAUCACCCAAGACAACUUUACGGAGUUGACGAUUGACGGAGCGAAGCGACGUCAAAGCGUUCAUUAAAGUCGAGUUGGCUUAGGGAUACGUUCGUUGGGUAGGGGAGCGUUCUGUAAGCCUGUGAAGGUGUGUCGUGAGGCAUGCUGGAGGUAUCAGAAGUGCGAAUGCUGACAUAAGUAACGAUAAAGCGGGUGAAAAGCCCGCUCGCCGGAAGACCAAGGGUUCCUGUCCAACGUUAAUCGGGGCAGGGUGAGUCGACCCCUAAGGCGAGGCCGAAAGGCGUAGUCGAUGGGAAACGGGUUAAUAUUCCCGUACUUGGUGUUACUGCGAAGGGGGGACGGAGAAGGCUAUGUUGGCCGGGCGACGGUUGUCCCGGUUUAAGCGUGUAGGUGUGUGUUCCAGGUAAAUCCGGUUCACUUUAACACUGAGGCGUGACGACGAGGCACUACGGUGCUGAAGCAACAAAUGCCCUGCUUCCAGGAAAA
rnacentral:rRNA from 1 species